rnacentral:misc_RNA from 1 species
ACCAUCAAAACUCUGCUCGAGAGUUAUUGUGAUAAAUAUAGACUCGAAGAGAGAGAUGGAGCACUUUAUCUUGGUUGGAUGAACAGAGAUUUGGUGGCAUCUUGUGCAUGGAAAUGAAAACCGGGUACCAAAUCCGCUCUGUUUUAGGAACAUGUGCAGCCAGCUGAGGUAGAACUUGUGGUAUUUUGAAUGUUUUUUCACCUUUUGCUCUGAACGGAUUUGAGAAGAAGUACAGAGUUGAGGCUACCAUAUU